rnacentral:rRNA from 1 species
CAGUAGCCGCGGGAAUACAGAGGGUGCGAGCGUUAAUCGGAUUUACUGGGCGUAAAGCGUGCGUAGGCGGCUAAUUGAGUCGGAUGUGAAAUCCCCGAGCUUAACUUGGGAAUUGCAUUCGAUACUGGUUAGCUAGAGUGUGGGAGAGGAUGGUAGAAUUCCAGGUGUAGCGGUGAAAUGCGUAGAGAUCUGGAGGAAUACCGAUGGCGAAGGCAGCCAUCUGGCCUAACACUGACGCUGAGGUACGAAAGCAUGGGGAGCAAACAGGAUUAGAUACCCCUGUAGUCCCUGUCUCUUAUAU